GACGAACGCUGGCGGCGUGCUUAACACAUGCAAGUCGAGCGCAGCGGUGAACGGGUGAUUAACGCGUGAGUAACUGCCCCCCUCUCCGGGAUAACAGUUGGAAACGGCUUCUAAUACCGGAUAGUGGGGGAUGACUCGGGUCCUAUCAGCUUGUUGGUGGGGUAGUGGCCUACCAAGGGGACGACGGGUAGCCGGCCUGAGAGCGCGACCGGCCACAAUGGGCUGAGGUAGGGACCAAACUCCUACGGGAGGCAGCGGUGGGGAAUAUUGCACAGUGGGGGAGACCCUGAUGCGGCAGCGCCGCGUGCGGGAAGACGGCCUUCGGGUUGUAAACCGCUUUCAGCCAUAACGCGGUAGUGGCAGAAGAAGCACCGGCUAACUACGUGCCAGCAGCCGCGGUAAUAC
rnacentral:rRNA from 1 species